rnacentral:precursor_RNA from 15 species
CAAAGGCAACUCUUCCCUUCCCACUGCCUCAGCUGGAUAAGGUACUCUAUUGUACACGUUGUCAAAAUGAGCACCUUAUCCAUAGAGGCUGUUGGCAAAGAACCUCUAAGGUGAAG